ACGUAGGGGGCAAGCGUUAUCCGGAUUUACUGGGUGUAAAGGGAGCGUAGACGGCUGUGCAAGUCUGAAGUGAAAGGCAUGGGCUCAACCUGUGGACUGCUUUGGAAACUGUGCGGCUAGAGUGUCGGAGAGGUAAGUGGAAUUCCUAGUGUAGCGGUGAAAUGCGUAGAUAUUAGGAGGAACACCAGUGGCGAAGGCGGCUUACUGGACGAUGACUGACGUUGAGGCUCGAAAGCGUGGGGAGCAAACAG
rnacentral:rRNA from 1 species